UACGUAGGGUGCAAGCGUUGUCCGGAAUUAUUGGGCGUAAAGAGCUCGUAGGCGGUCUGUCGCGUCGGCUGUGAAAACCCGGAGCUCAACUCCGGGCCUGCAGUCGAUACGGGCAGACUGGAGUUCGGCAGGGGAGACUGGAAUUCCUGGUGUAGCGGUGAAAUGCGCAGAUAUCAGGAGGAACACCGGUGGCGAAGGCAGGUCUCUGGGCCGAUACUGACGCUGAGGAGCGAAAGCGUGGGGAGCGAACAGG
rnacentral:rRNA from 1 species